rnacentral:rRNA from 1 species
AGUGAACGCUGGCGGUAGGCCUAACACAUGCAAGUCGAACGGCAGCACAGUAAGAGCUUGCUCUUACGGGUGGCGAGUGGCGGACGGGUGAGGAAUACAUCGGAAUCUACUUUUUCGUGGGGGAUAACGUAGGUAAACUUACGCUAAUACCGCAUACGACCUACGGGUGAAAGCAGGGGAUCUUCGGACCUUGCGCGAUUGAAUGAGCCGAUGUCGGAUUAGCUAGUUGGCGGGGUAAAGGCCCACCAAGGCGACGAUCCGUAGCUGGUCUGAGAGGAUGAUCAGCCACACUGGAACUGAGACACGGUCCAGACGCCUACGGGAGGCAGCAGUGGGGAAUAUUGGACAAUGGGCGCAAGCCUGAUCCAGCCAUACCGCGUGGGUGAAGAAGGCCUUCGGGUUGUAAAGACCUUUUGUUGGGAAAGAAAAGCAGCAGGUUAAUACCCCGCUGUUCUGACGGUACCCAAAGAAUAAGCACCGGCUAACUUCGUG